rnacentral:lncRNA from 1 species
CGAACUUCGCCCACGCCCCCCACCAAGGCUAUAGCCCACCCGUUUUUUGGCCAUUUUUCCGCUGGGGGGUCUUGGCGCCCCCACCUUCGGGGGCUGAAUUUUGGGCGCGGCUGUGCCCGUGGCCUAUUUUUGGCACACGGAGGCCGCCCGCAAAGUCUGGGGCCAUUCCGAGUCCGGCGGACGAACUUCGCCCACGCCCCCCACCAAGGCUAUAGCCCACCCGUUUCUUGGCCAUUUUUCCGCUGGGGGGUCUUGGCACCCCGACCUUCGGGGGCUGAUUUUUGGGCGCGGCUCUGCCCGUGGCCUAUUUUUGGCACACGGAAGCCGCCCGCAAAGUCUGGGGCCAUUCCGAGUCCGGCGGACGAACUUCGCCCACGCCCCCCACCAAGGCUAUAGCCCACCCGUAUUUUGGCCAUUUUUCCGCUGGGGGGUCUUGGCACCCCGACCUUCGGGGGCUGAUUUUUGGGCGCGGCUCUGCCCGUGGCCUAUUUUUGGCACACGGAGGCCGCCCGCAAAGUCUGGGGCCAUUCCGAGUUCGGCGGACGAACUUCGCCCACGCCCCCCACCAAGGCUAUAGCCCACCCGUUUUUUGGCCAUUUUUCCGCUGGGGGGUCUUGGCGCCCUGACCUUCGGGGGCUGAUUUUUGGGCGCGGCUGUGCCCGUGGCCUAUUUUUGGCAUACGGAGGCCGCCCGCAAAGUCUGGGGCCAUUCCGAGUCCGGUGGACGAACUUCGCCCACGCCCCCCACCAAGGUAUAGCCCGCCCCCCCCUUUUUUUGGCCAUUUUUCCGCUGGGGGGGUCUUGCCGCCCCAACCUUCGGGGGCUGAUUUUGGGGCGCGGCUGUGCCCGUGGCCUAUUUUUGGUACCCGGAGGCCGCCCGCAAAGUCAGGGGCCAUUCCGAGUCCGGCGGACGAACUUCGCCCACGCCCCCCACCAAGGCUAUAGCCCACCCGUUUUUUGGCCAUUUUUCCGCUGGGGGGUCUUGGCGCCCCGACCUUCGGGGGCUGAUUUUUGGGCGCGGCUGUGCCCGUGGCCUAUUUUUGGCACACGGAGGCCGCCCGCAAAGUCUGGUGCCAUUCCGAGUCCGGCGGACGAACUUCGCCCACACCCCCCACCAAGGCUAUAGCCCACCCGUUUUUUGGCCAUUUUUCCGCUGGGGGGUCUUGGCACCCCGACCUUCGGGGGCUGAUUUUUGGGCGCGGCUCUGCCCGUGGCCUAUUUUUGGCACACGGAAGCCGCCCGCAAAGUCUGGGGCCAUUCCGAGUCCGGCGGACGAACUUCGCCCACGCCCCCCACCAAGGCUAUAGCCCACCCGUUUUUUGGCCAUUUUUCCGCUGGGGGGUCUUGGCGCCCCGACCUUCGGGGGCUGAUUUCUGGGCGCGGCUCUGCCCGUGGCCUAUUUUUGGCACACGGAAGCCGCCCGCAAAGUCUGGGGCCAUUCCGAGUCCGGCGGACGAACUUAGCCCACGCCCCCCACCAAGGCUAUAGCCCACCCGUUUUUUGGCCAUUUUUCCGCUGGGGGGUCUUGGCGCCCCGACCUUCGGGGGCUGAUUUUUGGGCGCGGCUCUGCCCGUGGCCUAUUUUUGGCACACGGAAGCCGCCCGCAAAGUCUGGAGCCAUUCCGAGUCCGGCGGACGAACUUCGCCCACGCCCCCCACCAAGGCUAUAGCCCACCCGUUUUUUGGCCAUUUUUCCGCUGGGGGGUGUUGGCACCCCGACCUUCGGGGGCUGAUUUUUGGGCGCGGCUGUGCCCGUGGCCUAUUUUUGGCACACGGAGGCCGCCCGCAACGUCUGGGGCCAUUCCGAGUCCGGCGGACGAACUUCGCCCACGCCCCCCACCAAGGCUAUAGCCCACCCGUUUUUUGGCCAUUUUUCCGCUGGGGGGUGUUGGCACCCCGACCUUCGGGGGCUGAUUUUUGGGCGCGGCUGUGUCCGUGGCCUAUUUUUGGCACACGGAGGCCGCCCGCAACGUCUGGGGCCAUUCCGAGUCCGGCGGACGAACUUCGCCCACGCCCCCCACCAAGGCUAUAGCCCACCCGUUUUUUGGCCAUUUUUCCGCUGGGGGGUCUUGGCACCCCGACCUUCGGGGGCUGAUUUUUGGGGGCGGCUCUGCCCGUGGCCUAUUUUUGGCACACGGAGGCCGCCCGCAAAGUCUGGGGCCAUUCCGAGUCCGGCGGACGAACUUCGCCCACGCCCCCCACCAAGGCUAUAGCCCGCCCACCCUUUUUUUGGCCAUUUUUCCGCUGGGGGGUCUUGGCGCCCCGACCUUCGGGGGCUGAUUUUUGGGCGCGGCUGUGCCCGUGGCCUAUUUUUGGCACACGGAGGCCGCCCGCAAAGUCUGGUGCCAUUCCGAGUCCGGCGGACGAACUUCGCCCACACCCCCCACCAAGGCUAUAGCCCACCCGUUUUUUGGCCAUUUUUCCGCUGGGGGGUCUUGGCACCCCGACCUUCGGGGGCUGAUUUUUGGGCGCGGCUCUGCCCGUGGCCUAUUUUUGGCACACGGAAGCCGCCCGCAAAGUCUGGGGCCAUUCCGAGUCCGGCGGACGAACUUCGCCCACGCCCCCCACCAAGGCUAUAGCCCACCCGUUUUUUGGCCAUUUUUCCGCUGGGGGGUCUUGGCGCCCCGUCCUUCGGGGGCUCAUUUUUGGCGCGGCUCUGCCCGUGGCCCAUUUUUGGCACACGGAAGCCGCCCGAAAGUCUGGGGCCAUUCCGAGUCCGGCGGACGAACUUAGCCCACGCCCCCCACCAAGGCUAUAGCCCACCCGUUUUUUGGCCAUUUUUCCGCUGGGGGGUCUUGGCGCCCCGACCCUCGGGGGCUGAUUUUUUGGGCGCGGCUCUGCCCGUGGCCUAUUUUUGGCACACGGAAGCCGCCCGCAAAGUCUGGGGCCAUUCCGAGUCCGGCGGACGAACUUCGCCCACGCCCCCCACCAAGGCUAUAGCCCACCCGUUUUUUGGCCAUUUUUCCGCUGGGGGGUGUUGGCACCCCGACCUUCGGGGGCUGAUUUUUGGGCGCGGCUGUGCCCGUGGCCUAUUUUUGGCACACGGAGGCCGCCCGCAAAGUCUGGGGCCAUUCCGAGUCCGGCGGACGAACUUCGCCCACGCCCCCCACCAAGGCUAUAGCCCGCCCACCCGUUUUUUGGCCAUUUUUCCGCUGGGGGGUCUUGGCGCCCCGACCUUCGGGGCCUGAUUUUUGGGCGCGGAUGUGCCCGUGGCCUGUUUUUGGCACACGGUGGCCGCCCGCAAAGUCUGGNNNNNNNNNNNNNNNNNNNNNNNNNNNNNNNNNNNNNNNNNNNNNNNNNNNNNNNNNNNNNNNNNNNNNNNNNNNNNNNNNNNNNNNNNNNNNNNNNNNNCCCCCCACCAAGGCUAUAGCCCACCCGUUUUUUGGCCAUUUUUCCGUUGGGGGGUCUUGGCACCCCGACCUUCGGGGGUUGAUUUUUGGGCGCGGCUCUGCCCGUGGCCUAUUUUUGGCACACGGAAGCCGCCCGCAAAGUCUGGGGCCAUUCCGAGUCCGGCGGACGAACUUAGCCCAAGCCCCCCACCAAGGCUAUAGCCCACCCGUUUUUUGGCCAUUUUUCCGCUGGGGGGUGUUGGCACCCCGACCUUCGGGGGGUGAUUUUUGGGCGCGGCUGUGCCCGUGGCCUAUUUUGGGCACACGGAGACCGCCCGCAACGUCUGGAGCCAUUCCGAGUCCGGCGGACGAACUUCGCCCACGCCCCCCACCAAGGCUAUAGCCCACCCGUUUUUUGGCCAUUUUUCCGCUGGGGGGUCUUGGCACCCCGACCUUCGGGGGUUGAUUUUUGGGCGCGGCUCUACCCGUGGCCUAUUUUUGGCACACGGAAGCCGCCCGCAAAGUCUGGGGCCAUUCCGAGUCCGGCGGACGAACUUCGCCCAAGCCCCCCACCAAGGCUAUAGCCCACCCGUUUUUUGGCCAUUUUUCCGCUGGGGGGUCUUGGCACCCCGACCUUCGGGGGCUGAUUUUUGGGUGCGGCUGUGCCCGUGGCCUAUUUUUGGCACACGGAGGCCGCCCGCAAAGUCUGGGGCCAUUCCGAGUUCGGCGGACGAACUUCGCCCACGCCCCCCACCAAGGCUAUAGCCCACCCGUUUUUUGGCCAUUUUUCCGCUGGGGGGUCUUGGCGCCCCGACCUUCGGGAGCUGAUUUUUGGGCGCGGCUGUGCACGUGGCCUAUUUUUGGCACACGGAGGCCGCCCUCAAAGUCUGGGGCCAUUCCGAGUCCGGCGGACGAACUUCGCCCACGCCCCCCACCAAGGCUAUAGCCCGCCCACCCGUUUUUUGGCCAUUUUUCCGCUGGGGGGUCUUGGCGCCCCGACCUUAGGGGGCUGAUUUUUGGACGCGGGUGUGCCCGUGGCCUAUUUUUGGCACACGAAGGCCGCCCGCAAAGUCUGGGGCCAUUCCGAGUCCGGCGGACGAACUC